GUGUACGUGCAACAUUGCUAUUUCAAUCUCUCUUUUCAGGUGGUUCAAUUCAAUCGUUUGCCUCUGGUGGUGAGUUUUAUAGCCAGCAGCAAUGCCAACACAGGUACGUUAGAAGGGCCACAGAUGCAGACUGUAAUUCUUUAUAGCACUGUGCCUGUGCAGUGUGACAGAUUAGGACUGACAGAGGGAGAGACCUGCAUCUGUGCCUCAGCACAGUUCCCACAUCUGCCUCCUUCCGGGGCCUUGUCCCUCUCCAGGGUUGUUUUCAGGUACACUCGAGGGGAGGCAGGACGGGGGAGUUUUUGCCGCAGGAACUCGUCGACUCAGUGUUGCGUUUCCUGUGUUGUUUGUGACUCACACUGAAACAGCCUGCAAAAAGGAAGGGCUACAGAACAUAAGCUGAACAGAACACAUGUGGAGUGCUGUAAGAAUAAC
rnacentral:lncRNA from 1 species